AGCUUGCUCCCUGAUGUUAGCGGCGGACGGGUGAGUAACACGUGGGUAACCUGCCUGUAAGACUGGGAUAACUCCGGGAAACCGGGGCUAAUACCGGAUGCUUGUUUGAACCGCAUGGUUCAAACAUAAAAGGUGGCUUCGGCUACCACUUACAGAUGGACCCGCGGCGCAUUAGCUAGUUGGUGAGGUAAUGGCUCACCAAGGCGACGAUGCGUAGCCGACCUGAGAGGGUGAUCGGCCACACUGGGACUGAGACACGGCCCAGACUCCAACGGGAGGCAGCAGUAGGGAAUCUUCCGCAAUGGACGAAAGUCUGACGGAGCAACGCCGCGUGAGUGAUGAAGGUUUUCGGAUCGUAAAGCUCUGUUGUUAGGGAAGAACAAGUACCGUUCGAAUAGGGCGGUACCUUGACGGUACCUAACCAGAAAGCCACGGCUAACUACGUGCCAGCAGCCGCGGUAAUACGUAGGUGGCAAGCGUUGUCCGGAAUUAUUGGGCGUAAAGGGCUCGCAGGCGGUUUCUUAAGUCUGAUGUGAAAGCCCCCGGCUCAACCGGGGAGGGUCAUUGGAAACUGGGGAACUUGAGUGCAGAAGAGGAGAGUGGAA
rnacentral:rRNA from 1 species